UGAGCAAUCUGCCCUUCUCAUCGGAAUAAGCGUUGGAAACGACGUCUAAUGCCGAAUACGACCUCCUUUCGCAUGAUCGGAGGUGGAAAGCUCCGGCGGAGAAGGAUGGGCCCGCGGCCUAUCAGCUUGUUGGUGGGGUGAUGGCCUACCAAGGCGACGACGGGUAGCCGGCCUGAGAGGGUGACCAGCCACACUGGGACUGAGACACGGCCCAGACUCCGUACGGGAGGNAG
rnacentral:rRNA from 1 species